AUUGAACGCUGGCGGCAGGCUUAACACAUGCAAGUCGAGCGAGCGGCGGACGGGUGAGCAAUUGCUGGGAAACUGCCUGAUGUAGGGGGAUAACUACUGUAAACGGUAGCUAAUACCGCAUACCACCAGUUGUGCUCAGAUGGGAUUAGCUAGUAGGUGGGGUAAUGGCUCACCUAGGCGACGAUCCAUAGCUGGUCUGAGAGGAUGACCAGCCACACUGGAACUGAGACACGGUCCAGACUCCUACGGUAGGCAGCAGUGGGGAAUAUUGCACAAUGGGCGCAAGCCUGAUGCAGCAAUGCCGCGUGUGUGAAGAAGGCCUUCGGGUUGUAAAGCACUUUCAGCGGGGAGGCGUUACUCGAAGAAGAAGCACCGGCUAACUCCGUGCCAGCAGCCGCGGUAAUUC
rnacentral:rRNA from 1 species